rnacentral:rRNA from 1 species
AAUCAACGCUGGCGGCGUGCCUCAGACAUGCAAGUCGAACGCGAAAGUUCCCUUCGGGGGGCGAGUAGAGUGGCGCACGGGUGAGUAACACGUAGGUAAUCUACCUUUGGGUGGGGAAUAACAGCCGGAAACGGCUGCUAAUACCGCAUAAUGCAGCGGCUCGACAUCGAGACAGUUGUUAAAGCGGGGGAUCGCAAGACCUCGCGCCUAAAGAGGAGCCUGCGGCGGAUUAGCUUGUUGGUGAGGUAAUGGCUCACCGAGGCAUCGAUCCGUAGCCGGCCUGAGAGGGCGGUCGGCCACACUGACACUGACAUACGGGUCAGACUCCUACGGGAGGCAGCAGUCGGGAAUUUUGGGCAAUGGGCGCAAGCCUGACCCAGCAACGCCGCGUGAAGGAUGAAAUCCCUCGGGA